rnacentral:lncRNA from 1 species
AUUCUAAAUAACAAAUAAUAAAAAUACACAAACCAUUGCAUACUAAAAAAGUCAACAAUCCAGUAAAAUUUCUUCUUAGGCAAACAUGGUUUAUAAUGCUGUUUCAAAUUCAUGGAAAACACACAAAUUAAAUUCAUAAUACAGUAUAAAAUCUAUACAGGGUUGUUAACAUGAUAAAAUGUCCCAAUAUAUGUAUGAAGCUAUUUCUUACUGUUUUUAUGCCCUUAAAUGACAUCCAUCAUAUCUAUUUGAGUCACCAGCAGGGAAAUUAAAAAUUCAUAAAUCAGUCACUAAGGUUCUGCCUCUAUUUUUGUUUUGUUUUAUUUAUAAUUUCCCCCCUAAAAUGAGGAAAAAUGCUUCCAAAAAAUAUGUGAAAGUAAUGUUUUUUUUCUUAUUUAAAAAUAAAAACAGAUGCUCCGCAGGGCGCAGCUUUAUACAACCGCAGAGGUUGAACCCUGAACGGUUGGGGCAAGUAUGGACACAACAUUCAAGCUGGAUUCAGCUCUAAAUUUGGAUUGUGUUUAAAUAGUUGACACAGCAGUGGUUUCUGACACAGAAUGAAUGUGGUCUAAUGAACUUAAAAUAUUUUUUUUGCCUUUGAGCAAUUCACUAUGCUGUUGAAUAUUAAUCCUCUCAAAAAAAUGUUUGAAGAAAUUUUCUUUUUAUUUAUGAAAUCUGAAAUGAGAAAAUUUACCCCCCCCCCCCAUUUUUUUUCACAUCCCGAUUCCCUUAUUCCAAAACUGAUCUCAACUCAAAUU